CAACUUUUCUCCCACCAUUAUCACACUCCAUAGAAGCCUUUGAAGCCCCAAGAGAAGUAGCAAAGCAAGGGAGAGUGUGGGAAAACUAUAGAGUGAAGGUUGUGCUUCGAGGGUUGAGCAGGCGAUGGAAUGGAUCGGUGUUGAGCGGAUUUCCCUUUUGAUGUUUAUGUAAUGAAACCUUGAGUAUGCAUCUCCAUAUGCAUAACUCACACGUUUUUUCGCUGCAAACACUCUGACUUAUUCAUCAUUUCUACUUGAACUUA